GCAUCGAUAGCUCGGUGGCAGAGCGGUGGGGCGUUUACCCAUGCGGCCCGGGUUCGAUCCCCGGUCGAUGUA